rnacentral:rRNA from 1 species
UACGUAGGGUGCAAGCGUUGCCCGGAUUUAUUGGGCGUAAAGGGCGCGUAGGCGGCUCUGCACGUUCGUUGUGAAAUCGCCCGGCUCAACUGGGCGGGGUCAGCGGAUACGGCAGAGCUUGAGCAAGCUAGGGGGCAAUGGAAUUCCCGGUGUAGUGGUGGAAUGCGCAGAUAUCAGGAAGAACACCAGUGGCGAAGGCGGCUUCCUGGACCGGUUCUGACACUGAGGAGCGAAAGCGUGGGGAGCGAUCCGG